GAUGAAGAACGCAGCGAAAUGCGAUAAGUAAUGUGAAUUGCAGAAUUCAGUGAAUCAUCGAAUCUUUGAACGCACAUUGCGCCCGCCAGUAUUCUGGCGGGCAUGCCUGUUCGAGCGUCAUUACAACCCUCAGGCCCCCGGGCCUGGCGUUGGGGAUCGGCGGAAGCCCCCUGUGGGCACACGCCGUCCCUCAAAUACAGUGGCGGUCCCGCCGCAGCUUCCAUUGCGUAGUAGCUAACACCUCGCAACUGGAGAGCGGCGCGGCCACGCCAUAAAACCCCCGACUUUUAGAAAGUUGACCUCGGAUCAGGUAGGAAUACCCGCUGAACUUAAGCAUAUCAAUAAGCGGAGGA
rnacentral:misc_RNA from 1 species